UACCAGCACCCCCGAGUGGUCGGGACGAUUAUUGGGCCUAAAGCAUCCGUAGCCGGUCCUGCAAGUCUUCCGUUAAAUCCAGCUGCUCAACAGAUGGGCUGCGGGGGAUACUACAUGGCUAGGAGGCGGGAGAGGCAAGCGGUACUCUAUGGGUAGGGGUAAAAAUCCGUUGAUCCAUAGAAGACCACCAGUGGCGAAGGCGGCUUGCCAGAACGCGCU
rnacentral:rRNA from 1 species